GAUAAACGCUGGCGGCGUGCCUAAUGCAUGCAAGUCGAACGGAUAGUUGUCUUCGGAUGGCUAUUAGUGGCAAACGGGUGAGUAACACGUGGGGAUCUGCCCAGUAGUGGGGAACAACUCCGAGAAAUCGGAGCUAAUACCGCAUACGGGUAGGUGUUGAGGAACACCAUACUAAAGCGAGCAAUCGCGCUAUUGGAGGAACCUGCGGCUGAUUAGCUAGUUGGNGGGGUAAAGGCCUACCAAGGCGAUGAUCAGUAGCUGGUCUGAGAGGAUGGACAGCCACACUGGGACUGAGAUACGGGCCCAGACUCCUACGGGAGGCAGCAGCAA
rnacentral:rRNA from 1 species